rnacentral:rRNA from 1 species
UCGAGAAUCUUUCACAAUGGGCGAAAGCCUGAUGGAGCGACGCCGCGUGGAGGUUAAGGUCUUCGGAUUGUAAACUCCUGUCAUGCGAGAACAAAGCCCGCAAGGGUCUGAUAGUAUCGCAAGAGGAAGAGACGGCUAACUCUGUGCCAGCAGCCGCGGUAAUACAGAGGUCUCAAGCGUUGUUCGGAAUUACUGGGCGUAAAGGGUGCGCAGGCCGCGCGGGCAGUCAAAUGUGUAAUUCAGGGGCUCAACCCCUGCACUGCGCUUGAUACUUCCGCGCUAGAACUUUGGAGAGGAGUCUGGAAUUCUCGGUGUAGCAGUGAAAUGCGUGGAUAUCGAGAAGAACACUAACGGCGUAAGCAAGACUCUGGACAAAUGUUGACGCUCAAGCACGAAGGCUAGGGUAGCGAACGG